UGAUCGCCGAGCUUGGUAACGCAAGCUUAAGUGUUCCUAGAGGGAUAGACACCGCGUGAGGCUGGCUUCACAGAGCAGCCAACUCUUUGC
rnacentral:SRP_RNA from 1 species